CUUUAAAGUUGUCACUUUAGUUAUUAGUUUUUAAGUCUGGCUAUAUAUAUAUGUGUGUGUGUGUGUGUGUGUGUGUGUAUUCUGCAAGCAAAAGUGUUCAAAAACAUGGGGGGGUGCUAGGAUAAAGAUAAAUUGAGUAUUUGGCUGGUCAUGGGAUCUCAGCAUGAUCUCAACAAUUUUGGUAAAUAUAUCUGCUGAUAUGGCAUUGAUUUAUUUGUGUAAAACAUUUUUAACGAAGAAAACAACUCAAGAUUGCACCUUUAAAUGUACCAACAUACUGGAAGCAGUUUAUUCAGCCUAGUUUCAUGUGUUACUUCCUCAGACAACGAUAAGGCUGUCUUUGGAUUCCGGAAUUUCCUGAGUGUUGUGAUAUCAAUUGUGCUGCUCUUUGUAUUCUUCAAAUUCUACCUUCACAAAAGAAAGCGUGAUGGAGAAGAUGGAGAAGAUGCAGAUUGUGUGUAUGUGAAUGUUCCUAUGCAUGUACACAGAAUGGAGACAAAACAACAGACCAGGGGUUGAAUAUGAAUGGCUGCAGUUUUAUGGACAAAUACUGUGUUAAAAUUAAAACCAGUAUACCAUCAGAAUAGAUGACUGCAUAUCCAGAGGAAGUACAACUUUUGGACAUUCUUUACAGUAACCGCACAAAGUAUUUUUUUGCUUAAGUCACACUUGAUAAUUUCCAGUUUGUUAACACUUAAAAAAAAUAAAACAUUUUUGUUACAUUAUGUAAUGAUAGUCGUCACUAAAUGUGAUUAAAUGCAUCCAAAUACUCUUUGGGGACAGAAGAGAGAACGCCUGUAAAUGUAUUACCUUUUCUGUCAGUAAUUAAUGUAAAGUUUUUUUUUUAAAUUAAUUGUUUGCCACAAGCUUGCUUUAUAGUAUUACGUAAACAAAUGAUUGGACCAUAAAUGCAAUCCAAUACAGCACUGGGGUUUAAAUAUCAGGACAUCUGCGCUUGUCUAAAGAUGUCUUAUGGAAAUGAUUGGACCAUAAAUGCAAUCCAAUACAGCACUGGGGUUUAAAUAUCAGGACAUCUGCGCUUGUCUAAAGAUGUCUUAUGGACUGACACAAGUACAGGAAUUAAGAGCCUAUGGAUGCAGACAAGACAUUACAACCUUAUUCCACAUAAUUGUUUACAUCAGUUCUGAAGUAAUACUAAUUACUUUUAUUAGUUCAGUAGUGAAUAUAUUCAAAACUGAACAAAGGAAUAGAUUUACCAUGCAUCAUUUACCAUAAUUAUUUCCCAUGCAUAAUUUCAUAUAGACCUGCAUUAUUUGUUUUCUUUCAUGUAACAAAAUUUAGAUGUCAGAGUGUCUAAUGAUAUAAUCGGAUUUGGAAAAAAAAAAAGGUAUAUACAGGUCCUUCUCAAAAAAUUAGCAUAUUGUGAAAAAGUUCAUUAUUUUCCAUAAUGUAAUGAUAAAAAUUAAACUUUCAUAUAUUUUAGAUUCAUUGCACACCAACUGAAAUAUUUCAGAUCUUUUAUUGUUUUAAUACUGAUGAUUUUGGCAUACAGCUCAUGAAAACCCAAAAAUUCCUAUCUAAAAAAAAUUAGCAUAUUUCAUCCGACCAAUAAAAGAAAAGUGUUUUUAAUACAAAAAAAGUCAACCU
rnacentral:lncRNA from 1 species